rnacentral:rRNA from 1 species
AGAGCAAAUGGUGGAUGCCUUGGCUAGUAGAGGCGAUGAAAGACGUGCCAGGCUGCGAUAAGUCUCGGGGAGCCGUCAAGGGGCUUUGAUCCGGGAAUUUCUGAAUGGGGCAACCCAGUAUAUAGUGAUAUAUACUACCGCAAUGCGGAGCGAACGUUGGGAAUUGAAACAUCUUAGUACCAACAGGAAAAGAAAUCAAACGAGAUUACGCUAGUAGCGGCGAGCGAAAGCGUAAGAGGGCAAACCACUAGCUUGCUAGUGGGGUUGUAGGACUGCAAUAUAGACUUAAACAAUCUAAUAGAAUAAGUUGGAAAGCUUAAGCAUAGAGGGUGAUACUCCCGUAUAUGAAAGUGCGUUUAUACUUAGCAGUAUCCUGAGUAGGGCGGGACACGUGUAAUCCUGUCUGAAGCUGGGUAGACCACUAUCCAACCCUAAAUACUACUACUAGACCGAUAGUGCACAAGUACCGUGAGGGAAAGGUGAAAAGAACUGAGGUGAUCAGAGUGAAAUAGAACCUGAAACCAUUUGCUUACAAUCAUUCAGAGCCCUAUGAUUUAUCAGGGUGAUGGACUGCCUUUUGCAUAAUGAGCCUGCGAGUUGUGGUGUCUGGCGAGGUUAAGGAAACCCGGAGCCGUAGCGAAAGCGAGUCUUAAUAGGGCGUAUAGUCAGAUGCUGCAGACCCGAAACGAUGUGAUCUAUCCAUGAGCAGGUUGAAACUGGUGUAAGAGCCAGUGGAGGACCGAACAGACGGCCGUUGAAAAGGCUCCUGAUGACUUGUGGAUAGGGGUGAAAGGCCAAUCAAACAUCGUGAUAGCUGGUUCUCUCCGAAAUAUAUUUAGGUAUAGCGUUGUGUAGUAACUUUGUGAGGUAGAGCACUGAAUGGGCUAGGGCAUACACCAAUGUACCAAACCCUAUCAAACUCCGAAUGCGCAAAGUGUAAUCACAGCAGUCAGGCGGCGAGUGAUAAAAUCCGUCGUCGAGAGGGGAACAACCCAGACUAACAGCUAAGGUCCCUAAAUCUCAUUUAAGUGGAAAACGAUGUGGAGUUACUGAAACAACCAGGAGGUUGGCUUAGAAGCAGCCAUCCUUUAAAGAAAGCGUAAUAGCUCACUGGUCUAGUGAUUCUGCGCGGAAAAUAUAACGGGGCUAAAAUGAGUACCGAAGCUUUAGACUUAGUUUUUAACUAAGUGGUAGGAGAGCGUUCUAUUCAGCGUUGAAGGUAUACCGGUAAGGAGUGCUGGAGCGGAUAGAAGUGAGCAUGCAGGCAUGAGUAGCGAUAAAAGGGGUGAGAAUCCCCUUCGCCGUAAACCCAAGGUUUCCUACGCGAUGCUCGUCAUCGUAGGGUUAGUCGGGUCCUAAGCAAAGUCCGAAAGGGGUAUGCGAUGGAAAAUUGGUUAAUAUUCCAAUACCAAUUAUUAUGUGCGAUGGAAGGACGCUUAAAGUUAGUGGAGCUAGCGGAUGGAAGUGCUAGUCUAAGGGCGUAGGUUGAGUUAUAGGCAAAUCCGUAACUCUUUAUCCGAGACCUCAAAGGCUCUUGACGCUCUUCGGAGUAGAUGGAGAAUCCAUGAUACUAUCGAGCCAAGAAAAGUUUCUAAGUUUAGUAAUAAUUGCCCGUACCGUAAACCGACACAGGUGGGUGGGAUGAGUAUUCUAAGGCGCGUGGAAGAACUCUCUUUAAGGAACUCUGCAAAAUAGCACCGUAUCUUCGGUAUAAGGUGUGCCUAACUUUGUAUUAAGAUUUACUCCCAAAGCAUUGAAGGUUACAACAAAGAGUCCCUCCCGACUGUUUACCAUAAACACAGCACUCUGCUAACUCGUAAGAGGAUGUAUAGGGUGUGACGCCUGCCCGGUGCUCGAAGGUUAAUUGAUGGGGUUAGCAUUAGCGAAGCUCUUGAUCGAAGCCCGAGUAAACGGCGGCCGUAACUAUAACGGUCCUAAGGUAGCGAAAUUCCUUGUCGGUUAAAUACCGACCUGCAUGAAUGGCGUAACGAGAUGGGAGCUGUCUCAAAGAGGGAUCCAGUGAAAUUGUAGUGGAGGUGAAAAUUCCUCCUACCCGCGGCAAGACGGAAAGACCCCGUGGACCUUUACUACAGCUUGACACUGCUAUUUGGAUAAAGAUGCGCAGGAUAGGUGGGAGGCUUUGAUCCAUAGACUCUGGUUUAUGGUGAGCCAUUGUUGAGAUACCACUCUUCUUUAUUUGAGUAGCUAACUAGCCUAAGUUAUCCUUAGGUAGGACAAUGUCUGGUGGGUAGUUUGACUGGGGCGGUCGCCUCCCAAAGUGUAACGGAGGCUUACAAAGGUUGGCUCAGAACGGUUGGAAAUCGUUCGUAGAGUAUAAAGGCAUAAGCCAGCUUAACUGCGAGACGUACAUGUCAAGCAGAGACGAAAGUCGGUCUUAGUGAUCCGGUGGUUCUGUGUGGAAGGGCCAUCGCUCAAAGGAUAAAAGGUACCCCGGGGAUAACAGGCUGAUCUCCCCCAAGAGCUCACAUCGACGGGGAGGUUUGGCACCUCGAUGUCGGCUCAUCGCAUCCUGGGGCUGGAGCAGGUCCCAAGGGUAUGGCUGUUCGCCAUUUAAAGCGGUACGCGAGCUGGGUUCAGAACGUCGUGAGACAGUUCGGUCCCUAUCUGCCGUGGGCGUAAGAAGAUUGAGGAGAGUUGACCCUAGUACGAGAGGACCGGGUUGAACCAGCCACUGGUGUAUCAGUUGUUCUGCCAAGAGCAUCGCUGAGUAGCUAAGCUGGGAUGUGAUAAGAGCUGAAAGCAUCUAAGCUCGAAGCCAACUCCAAGAUGAAUCUUCUUUUAAGAGCUCUAGUAGACUACUAGUUUGAUAGGCUGGGUGUGUAAUGGAUGAGAGUCCUUUAGCUGACCAGUACUAAUAGCUCGUUUGCUUAUCUU